AGAGUUUGAUCCUGGCUCAGGAUGAACGCUGGCGGCGUGCCUAACACAUGCAAGUCGAGCGAAGCACUUAACUUUGAUCCUUCGGGUGAAGAGUUCUGUGACUGAGCGGCGGACGGGUGAGUAACACGUAGGUAACCUGCCUCACACAGGGGGAUAACAGUUAGAAAUGACUGCUAAUACCGCAUAAGCGCACAGGGCCGCAUGGCCCGG
rnacentral:rRNA from 1 species